rnacentral:misc_RNA from 1 species
AACGCACAUUGCGCCCCCUGGUAUUCCGGGGGGCAUGCCUGUCCGAGCGUCAUUGCUGCCCAUCAAGCACGGCUUGUGUGUUGGGUCGUCGUCCCCUCUCCGGGGGGGACGGGCCCCAAAGGCAGCGGCGGCACCGCGUCCGAUCCUCGAGCGUAUGGGGCUUUGUCACCCGCUCUGUAGGCCCGGCCGGCGCUUGCCGAACGCAAAUCAAUCUUUUCCAGGUUGACCUCGGAUCAGGUAGGGAUACCCGCUGAACUUAA